CGGACGGGUGAGUAACGCGUAAAGAACUUGCCCUUUAGACUGGGAUAACAGAGGGAAACUUCUGAUAAUACUGGAUAAGUUAGUAUAUCGCAUGAUAUGCAAAUGAAAGCUACGGCACUAAAGGAGAGCUUUGCGUCCUAUUAGCUAGUUGGUAAGGUAAGAGCUUACCAAGGCGAUGAUAGGUAGCCGGCCUGAGAGGGUGGACGGCCACAAGGGGACUGAGAUACGGCCCUUACUCCUACGGGAGGCAGCAGC
rnacentral:rRNA from 1 species